rnacentral:rRNA from 1 species
GAAGAGUUUGAUCAUGGCUCAGAUUGAACGCUGGCGGCAGGCCUAACACAUGCAAGUCGAACGGUAACAGGAAGCAGCUUGCUGCUUCGCUGACGAGUGGCGGACGGGUGAGUAAUGUCUGGGAAACUGCCUGAUGGAGGGGGAUAACUACUGGAAACGGUGGCUAAUACCGCAUAACGUCGCAAGACCAAAGAGGGGGACCUUCGGGCCUCUUGCCAUCAGAUGUGCCCAGAUGGGAUUAGCUAGUUGGUGAGGUAACGGCUCACCAAGGCGACGAUCCCUAGCUGGUCUGAGAGGAUGACCAGCCACACUGGAACUGAGACACGGUCCAGACUCCUACGGGAGGCAGCAGUGGGGAAUAUUGCACAAUGGGCGCAAGCCUGAUGCAGCCAUGCCGCGUGUAUGAAGAAGGCCUUCGGGUUGUAAAGUACUUUCAGCGGGGAGGAAGGUGUUGUGGUUAAUAACCGCAGCAAUUGACGUUACCCGCAGAAGAAGCACCGGCUAACUCCGUGCCAGCAGCCGCGGUAAUACGGAGGGUGCAAGCGUUAAUCGGAAUUACUGGGCGUAAAGCGCACGCAGGCGGUCUGUCAAGUCGGAUGUGAAAUCCCCGGGCUCAACCUGGGAACUGCAUUCGAAACUGGCAGGCUUGAGUCUUGUAGAGGGGGGUAGAAUUCCAGGUGUAGCGGUGAAAUGCGUAGAGAUCUGGAGGAAUACCGGUGGCGAAGGCGGCCCCCUGGACAAAGACUGACGCUCAGGUGCGAAAGCGUGGGGAGCAAACAGGAUUAGAUACCCUGGUAGUCCACGCCGUAAACGAUGUCUACUUGGAGGUUGUGCCCUUGAGGCGUGGCUUCCGGAGCUAACGCGUUAAGUAGACCGCCUGGGGAGUACGGCCGCAAGGUUAAAACUCAAAUGAAUUGACGGGGGCCCGCACAAGCGGUGGAGCAUGUGGUUUAAUUCGAUGCAACGCGAAGAACCUUACCUGGUCUUGACAUCCACAGAACUUUCCAGAGAUGGAUUGGUGCCUUCGGGAACUGUGAGACAGGUGCUGCAUGGCUGUCGUCAGCUCGUGUUGUGAAAUGUUGGGUUAAGUCCCGCAACGAGCGCAACCCUUAUCCUUUGUUGCCAGCGAUUAGGUCGGGAACUCAAAGGAGACUGCCAGUGAUAAACUGGAGGAAGGUGGGGAUGACGUCAAGUCAUCAUGGCCCUUACGACCAGGGCUACACACGUGCUACAAUGGCGCAUACAAAGAGAAGCGACCUCGCGAGAGCAAGCGGACCUCAUAAAGUGCGUCGUAGUCCGGAUUGGAGUCUGCAACUCGACUCCAUGAAGUCGGAAUCGCUAGUAAUCGUGGAUCAGAAUGCCACGGUGAAUACGUUCCCGGGCCUUGUACACACCGCCCGUCACACCAUGGGAGUGGGUUGCAAAAGAAGUAGGUAGCUUAACCUUCGGGAGGGCGCUUACCACUUUGUGAUUCAUGACUGGGGUGAAGUCGUAACAAGGUAACCGUAGGGGAACCUGCGGUUGGAUCACCUCCUUACCUUAAAGAA